rnacentral:tmRNA from 1 species
GGGGGCGUAAGGCUUCGCCAUUAAUCAUAUGCUCUUAUACUAUGCAGACUAAGCUGAGUUAACUUAUCAAACUGACUCAAACCCUAUACACGGCAACAGAAAUGUAGCCCUAGCUUACGCAUAAGACGUAGGCCAUCGGUGUGACAAGUUUCCAUAGUCACACAUACGGUGUUAUACCAUGGAGAUAGGUUGCGUUAGAUCUGAUUCUUUCGCUCGCAACUAAAUUUAAUAGAAUCAAAACUUGUUCUCUUUUGAACUAAGUCUGUAGAUGUAGUAUUUGGCGGUUAAUGUACGGGAUUUCAAUAUCCCCGCCUCCACAA